rnacentral:rRNA from 1 species
UACGGGGGGGCAAGCGUUGUUCGGAAUUACUGGGCGUAAAGGGCUCGUAGGCGGCCAACUAAGUCAGACGUGAAAUCCCGUCGGCUUAACCGGGGAACUGCGUCUGAUACUGGAUGGCUCGAAGAUUGGGAGAGGGAUGCGGAAUUCCAGGUGUAGCGGUGAAAUGCGUAGAUAUCGGAGGAACACCGGUGGCGAAGGCGGC